GUGUCUAAGAUCCAAUAUCAUUAAACUAGGACAAUUGUAAAAUGCAUUCAUCAAUGGUCCUUGUAGCCUAUUUCUUGAUAAAUAAACUUCACCGAUCGAUGGAGGGCAAAAGCUGGAUGGCAGGUUUCCAAAGAAAUUAUUCUUUGAAAGAUCCAAGAUUUGAAGAGAAGUCAUAUUCCCUAUCCAACUAGGGAUGCUGCCAAAGAGGUGAUUAUCUCUCACGUCCAACACUUUCAACCGUGUGCAAUUAAUUAUGCUAUAUGG
rnacentral:misc_RNA from 1 species